AUCUUCGACCAUUAUCACUCUGCAAAAAUCACAUUGAAUUCUCUCCAUUCACUCUGCAAUUUCAUCUUGCACGAUCACUCUCUACAUUCAAUUUCUCUCUCCCUCACCCCACUCAAAUCUCCAACUCGUCCAUUUUUGAGAAAGCUUCACCUUGAAUCUUGUUACAACUAGAGCAUAAACCUCACCGCUACACUCUACACUCAUUAAACAACAACAUAACUGUUUCGAUCCUAUAGACUAUUGGGAAGAAUGAGAAGAAGCUACUUCAAAGAAUUGGAGUUUCAAAGUACUUACCUAUUGGCGCUUCUCCUCUGGUUUUCUCUACAGCUUCAU
rnacentral:lncRNA from 1 species